AAUUCUCAACCUUUCAAGCUUUGAAUGAAAAGCUAGUUAGGCUUGGAUUCUGGGAGUUUGCUGGCUUUUCUUUGAGUCAGCUCUUCUUAAAUAUAUUAGCAAGAUCAUCGCUAAAUCAUCUUUGAUAUGAUAAUUAUCUAUAUCAUUAAUGAUAACCGGCGUUUCCUUCACGGGAAAGAUCAGGCUUAUAACUGUCUCAGGACAAUAUAUUCGAAUC
rnacentral:misc_RNA from 1 species